GUGACAUAAGCUCAGUCGAUUGGAUUUUCUCUCCCCAAACCCUGAAGCUGAAACAGAAUGAGCAGACUGGGAGGAACGGUUAGAAUCCGUGUAUCCAGUAUGGGGCAGAGAGUUGAGUGGGUCUUAUCUUCACACUCUCUGUAGCUCUCCCACUUCUGAGGGUUACAAAUCUGGUUCUCCAGCCCCCUCAAUCCUGUGAGCACCUCCAUAGCCUUUGGUAAAUUCUCCUUUUGCUCCAGUUGGUCAGAGCUGUAUUCUAUUAUUUGUUGCCACAAUACCUUAACUCGAAAAGCCCCUUCACUAGUCUCCUUGCCUCCAGAAAUCCGGCACAGUUUUCCAAAUUGCAAGCGUGACCAUAACAAGCUCACACCUGAAAGUCUUCAGUGUCUCUCUCUUGUCUACGGGGAAAGCUCACACUCCUUAUCAUGGCAGACAAGCCUCCUCCUUACCUUGCCAAGAUACAGAUGUGUUUGAACUGACAUUGUGAGACUUCUGGAUCUAGGCCUCAAAGAGCCUUUCGGUUUCUGCUUUUGCCUCUCCGGAUUGCUGACCCAAGACCACUGUGGAGAGCACUCUGUCCAGCCUACUGAAGCAGGAGAACCCAGACACUGCAGACAACAGCCAGCACCAAUUUCCAGACGCGUGAAUGAUGCUGUCUUCUAGCAUCCCUCUCUGGUCAAGCUGCCAGAUGAUUGCAGCCGUGUAAUCGGGAAAGACCAGCAGAAGGGCUGCCCAGAUGAUCCCAGCCCAAAUUAUUGACCCUUGGAGUUAUGAGUGAAUGAACGGUUGUUGUUUCAAGCUGCUAAGCUUUAGGUGGCUUGUUAUGCGGCAAUAGAGAACUGAUACAGAGAUAUUGGAAAUUUCUCAGUAAACAUAAGGAACAGGGGUGCAUUGUUCCCCUAAUAGUCCCUAUUUUUAAUAAUCGUGACUGUUUGCCU
rnacentral:lncRNA from 1 species